CAGGGAGACAACAAAAUGUUUAUAUUAAUUUUGUCACCUUAGGUCGAUCGGUACCUCACAUUCUUAAUUAGUUUAAGAAUUUCAAUUCCUAAGUUUUUUCUAGGUCACACCCAUUACUUUUCCUGGGCCAUUAGCUCAGGUGGUUAGAGCGCACCCCUGAUAAGGGUGAGGUCCCUGGUUCAAGUCCAGGAUGGCCCAUAUCUCUAUGUUGGGGGUAUAGCUCAGUUGGUAGAGCGCCUGCUUUGCAAGCAGGAUGUCAGCGGUUCGAGUCCGCUUACCUCCACUGAUUACCACCUCUUUCAUAUUUGUGAAGGGAAUAAGUAAUUGAAGUGACUUAAUCUGAACGAAUCUAGCUUCCUAAUAAAUUCAUUAAGAUGCUGGAUUCAAUGAAUUCUUUUCAUUGUUUUCAGAGAACCUUGACAACUGCAUAGAUUUUUUUAAAGACAAUAAGCAUCUUAUAAAGAUGCAGAUUUAUUAUUUGUGCUAUUGCAUUAAAUAACAAUUCUAUUGAGCUGAUGCUUCAAAUUUUGAAGUUAUU
rnacentral:tRNA from 1 species